rnacentral:rRNA from 1 species
CAGGCUUAACACAUGCAAGUCGAGGGGCAUCAGGAAGAAAGCUUGCUUUCUUUGCUGGCGACCGGCGCACGGGUGAGUAACACGUAUCCAACCUGCCCUUUACUCGGGGAUAGCCUUUCGAAAGAAAGAUUAAUACCCGAUGGCAUAAUGAUUCCGCAUGGUUUCAUUAUUAAAGGAUUCCGGUAAAGGAUGGGGAUGCGUUCCAUUAGGUUGUUGGUGAGGUAACGGCUCACCAAGCCUUCGAUGGAUAGGGGUUCUGAGAGGAAGGUCCCCCACAUUGGAACUGAGACACGGUCCAAACUCCUACGGGAGGCAGCAGUGAGGAAUAUUGGUCAAUGGGCGCUAGCCUGAACCAGCCAAGUAGCGUGAAGGAUGAAGGCUCUAUGGGUCGUAAACUUCUUUUAUAUAAGAAUAAAGUGCAGUAUGUAUACUGUUUUGUAUGUAUUAUAUGAAUAAGGAUCGGCUAACUCCGUGCCAGCAGCCGCGGUAAUACGGAGGAUCCGAGCGUUAUCCGGAUUUAUUGGGUUUAAAGGGAGCGUAGGUGGACUGGUAAGUCAGUUGUGAAAGUUUGCGGCUCAACCGUAAAAUUGCAGUUGAUACUGUCAGUCUUGAGUACAGUAGAGGUGGGCGGAAUUCGUGGUGUAGCGGUGAAAUGCUUAGAUAUCACGAAGAACUCCGAUUGCGAAGGCAGCUCACUGGACUGCAACUGACACUGAUGCUCGAAAGUGUGGGUAUCAAACAGGAUUAGAUACCCUGGUAGUCCACACAGUAAACGAUGAAUACUCGCUGUUUGCGAUAUACAGUAAGCGGCCAGGCGAAAGCAUUAAGUAUUCCACCUGGGGAGUACGCCGGCAACGGUGAAACUCAAAGGAAUUGACGGGGGCCCGCACAAGCGGAGGAACAUGUGGUUUAAUUCGAUGAUACGCGAGGAACCUUACCCGGGCUUAAAUUGCAGUGGAAUGAUGUGGAAACAUGUCAGUGAGCAAUCACCGCUGUGAAGGUGCUGCAUGGUUGUCGUCAGCUCGUGCCGUGAGGUGUCGGCUUAAGUGCCAUAACGAGCGCAACCCUUAUCUUUAGUUACUAACAGGUUAUGCUGAGGACUCUAGAGAGACUGCCGUCGUAAGAUGUGAGGAAGGUGGGGAUGACGUCAAAUCAGCACGGCCCUUACAUCCGGGGCGACACACGUGUUACAAUGGUGGGGACAAAGGGCAGCUACACAGUGAUGUGAUGCUAAUCUCCAAACCCCAUCUCAGUUCGGAUCGAAGUCUGCAACCCGACUUCGUGAAGCUGGAUUCGCUAGUAAUCGCGCAUCAGCCAUGGCGCGGUGAAUACGUUCCCGGGCCUUGUACACACCGCCCGUCAAGCCAUGGGAGUUGGGGGUACCUAAAGUCCGUAACCGCAAGGAUCGUCCUAGGGUAAAACCGAUGACUGGG